rnacentral:rRNA from 1 species
ACUCUGAUAAACCUAAAGGCGCAAUGAAAGUGAAGGUCCGCCUCGCGCGGACCGAGGGAGGAUGGGUCCGUUCUCGAACGGGCCCCGCACUCCCGGGGCGUCUCGUUCUCAUCGCGAGAUGAGGCGCACCCAGAGCGUACACGCUGGGACCCGAAAGAUGGUGAACUAUGCCUGGUCAGGACGAAGUCAGGGGAAACCCUGAUGGAGGUCCGUAGCGAUUCUGACGUGCAAAUCGAUCGUCGGAACUGGGUAUAGGGGCGAAAGACUAAUCGAACCAUCUAGUAGCUGGUUCCUUCCGA